CGCGCAGGCGGUCUUGUCCGUCAGGUGUGAAAGCUCGGGGCUCAACCUCGGAAGUGCACUUGAAACAGCAAGACUUGAAUACGGGAGAGGAGAGAGGAAUUCCUGGUGUAGAGGUGAAAUUCGUAGAUAUCAGGAGGAACACCGAUGGCGAAGGCAUCUCUCUGGACCGAUAUUGACGCUGAGGCGCGAAGGCGUGGGUAGCGAACG
rnacentral:rRNA from 1 species